GAUGAACGCUGGCGGCGUGCCUAAUACAUGCAAGUCGAGCGAACAGACGAGGAGCUUGCUCCUCUGACGUUAGCGGCGGACGGGUGAGUAACACGUGGAUAACCUACCUAUAAGACUGGGAUAACUUCGUGAAACCGGAGCUAAUACCGGAUAACAUGUUGAACCGCAUGGUUCAACAGUGAAAGACGGUCUUGCUGUCACUUAUAGAUGGAUCCGCGCCGCAUUAGCUAGUUGGUAAGGUAACGGCUUACCAAGGCAACGAUGCGUAGCCGACCUGAGAGGGUGAUCGGCCACACUGGAACUGAGACACGGUCCAGACUCCUACGGGAGGCAGCAGUAGGGAAUCUUCCGCAAUGGGCGAAAGCCUGACGGAGCAACGCCGCGUGAGUGAUGAAGGUCUUCGGAUCGUAAAACUCUGUUAUUAGGGAAGAACAAAUGUGUAAGUAACUAUGCACGUCUUGACGGUACCUAAUCAGAAAGCCACGGCUAACUACGUG
rnacentral:rRNA from 1 species